rfam:Erinaceus europaeus unplaced genomic scaffold scaffold00157, whole genome shotgun sequence
GGAUGUGAGGGUGAUCUGGCUGCAACAUCUGGCACCCCAUUGAUCGCCAGGGUUGAUUCAGCUGAUCUGGCUGACUAGGCAGGUGUCCCCUAUCUCCCUCACCACUCUAUAUGUGUCCCUCCCGAAGCUGCAUGUUCGGUCGAAGAGGACAGCCUUCCCCAAAUAGAGACUAACUGGUCUUUGGUCGAGGGUUUACGAGUAGCUGUGCUCCCAUGCUAGAACCUCCAAACAAGCUCUCAAGAAAGUUGUGGUCAAUAUAUACAGUAGAAUAUUACUCAGCUGUGAAAAUGCUGAAAUAUUAUUUUUUUCUGCUACAUCUUGAAUGGAACUUGAA